UCACUGUGCUAGUGGAGUUUGAAGUUGGU
rnacentral:sRNA from 1 species